UACGUAGGCAGCGAGCGUUGUUCGGAGUUACUGGGCGUAAAGGGUGUGUAGGCGGUUCUUAAGUUUGGUGUGAAAUCUCCCGGCUCAACCGGGAGGGUGCGCCGAAUACUGAGGGACUUGGAGUAUGGGAUGGGAAAGUGGAAUUCCUGGUGUAGCGGUGAAAUGCGUAGAUAUCAGGAGGAACACCUGUGGUGUAGACGGCUUUCUGGACCAUAACUGACGCUGAGACACGAAAAGCGUGGGUAGCAAACAGG
rnacentral:rRNA from 1 species